CCGACGGGUGAGUAACACGUAUGCAAUCCACCUGUAACAGGGGAUAACCCGGAGAAAUCCGGACUAAUACCCCAUAAUAUGGGCGCUCCGCAUGGAGAGCCCAUUAAAGAGAGCAAUUUUGGUUACAGACGAGCAUGCGCUCCAUUAGCCAGUUGGCGGGGUAACGGCCCACCAAAGCGACGAUGGAUAGGGGUUCUGAGAGGAAGGUCCCCCACAUUGGAACUGAGACACGGUCCAA
rnacentral:rRNA from 1 species